GACGAACGCUGGCGGCGUGCCUAAUACAUGCCAGUCGAACGCUUCUUUCCUCCCGAGUGCUUGCACUCAAUUGGAAAGAGGAGUGGCGGACGGGUGAGUAACACGUGGGUAACCUACCCAUCAGAGGGGGAUAACACUUGGAAACAGGUGCUAAUACCGCAUAACAGUUUAUGCCGCAUGGCAUAAGAGUGAAAGGCGCUUUCGGGUGUCGUUGAUGGAUGGACCCGCGGUGCAUUAGCUAGUUGGUGAGGUAACGGCUCACCAAGGCCACGAUGCAUAGCCGACCUGAGAGGGUGAUCGGCCACACUGGGACUGAGACACGGCCCAGACUCCUACGGGAGGCAGCAGUAGGGAAUCUUCGGCAAUGGACGAAAGUCUGACCGAGCAACGCCGCGUGAGUGAAGGAGGUUUUCGGAUCGUAAAACUCUGUUGUUAGAGAAGAACAAGGACGUUAGUAACUGAACGUCCCCUGACGGUAUCUAACCAGAAAGCCACGGCUAACUACGUG
rnacentral:rRNA from 1 species